GUACGCGAGCUGGGUUUAGAACGUCGUGAGACAGUUCGGUCCCUAUCUGCCGUGGGCGCUGGAGAAUUGAGGGGGGCUGCUCCUAGUACGAGAGGACCGGAGUGGACGCAUCACUGGUGUUCGGGUUGUCAUGCCAAUGGCAUUGCCCGGUAGCUAAAUGCGGAAGAGAUAAGUGCUGAAAGCAUCUAAGCACGAAACUUGCCCCGAGAUGAGUUCUCCCUGACUCCUUGAGAGUCCUGAAGGAACGUUGAAGACUACGACGUUGAUAGGUCGGGUGUGUAAGCGCAGCGAUGCGUUGAGCUAACCGAUACUAAUGAACCGUGAGGCUUAACCUUACAACGCCGAAGCUGUU
rnacentral:rRNA from 1 species